rnacentral:rRNA from 1 species
UACGGUAGGUGGCAAGCGUUGUCCGGAUUUACUGGGCGUAAAGAGCGCGCAGGCGGUCGUUCAAGUCGCGUGUGAAAGCCCCCGGCUCAACUGGGGAGGGUCACGCGAUACUGAUCGACUGGAAGGCAGGGAGAGGGUAGUGGAAUUCCCGGUGGUAGUGGUGGAAAUGCGUAGAUAUCGGGAGGAACACCAGUGGCGAAGGCGACUACCUGGCCUGUUCUUGACGCUGAGGCGCGAAAGCUAGGGGAGCAAACGGGG